UAACUGGUGAGUAUGGAAUCUUUUUCUGUUUUUCAUUUUAUUUUAUUUUUCAGUUUGGAGUUUGUGGAAUAGAUAGGUUUUUACUUUAUGAAUCUGGAACGAACGGAUUGCUACCGGCGGCAUUCCUGAACGCAAUUGGGUCCAACACGGAAGCUAAACUAGUUCAUAUGCAUACGGACUACGUUGCCCAGAAGCAGGCACAACAAGCAAUGAAUUUCGAUACGGAACAACUGAGCAGAUGCAUAUCAGUGAAAGUUUAUUCCGUUCUGAGACAUUUCUACCAACGAAGUAAGGACACGAACGGUAUUGAAUUGAAUGAUGCUAAGCCAGAUCAACAGUGUGGGGAGACUGACGGUGUAGAUUCGCCACAGGUGGAAAUUAAUCACAAACGCAAGAUGUGACAUUAUCAGAUUCUCCCAAAGUGGUUUCUUACCAGCUAUGAAUACACCCGUUCGGAUGAUGUGGCUUUUUUGCUUCCAUCAACUGCAGUCAACAGCAUCGGCUUUCCCGUAGCAGUAUCCUCCAAGCCAUGGUGGCUGUUCCAGGGGACAACAUCAACAGCAGCAGCAUCUGGACCUGACCAUCGAUAGUGUUUCGAGCAACUUUCCAUAUCGGAGAUCUCGUGCUUCGCGCACAUUGAAGAAACCUCCUCAGCCACAUAUGUGUGUCAAGGAGAAAAAGGAGCUGGAUUCGAAUCGUCAAUCCAGACAACCCGAAUGCA